rnacentral:snRNA from 1 species
UUUCUUUUUCGGCCUUUUGGCUAAGAUCAAGUGUAGUAUCUGUUCGUAUCAGUUUAAUACCAUGUGUGCUUUUAACUGACACCAAAUUGACUCUUUACACUUGGCUAAGAAGCAUGAAAAGACAAGACAAAAGGAUACACAGUGCAGACAGUUACAUCUGCCCCUGCACUCAGAAGG